GGGUGUGAGGCUGGUCAGCUGCAGCACCCGUUACCUCACUGAUCACCAGGGCUGAUUCGGCAGAUCUGGCUGGCUGGGUGGGCGUCCCUUUCCUCCCUCACUGCUCCGUGUGCAUCUCUCCCAGAGCUGCACACUUGGUCAGAGGAUGACCAGCCCUGACAGAGGAAGAACUUUUCCGUGGUCAGGCCUGUCCGAGUAGCUGUACUUCCCUGCCAGAACCUCCAAACAAGCUCUCAGAGCAUAGGCUUGUGUUAGUUACUUUUCCUGUUGCUGAGACUCAAUGUUCAACACCUGCAAUUUAAAGGCAGAGAGAUUUAUU
ensembl:misc_RNA 7SK 7SK RNA